AUGCCUCUCACAAAGGAUCUCCUUCAUCCCUCUCCAGAAGACAACAAGAGGAAACACACGAAGAAGUGCUUGGGGCAGAUCCCUGGUUCCUGCUUCAUGGAUGUGAGAUGUCCAGGAUGCUCUACAGUCACAAUGGCCUUUUCCUACGCACGAACAGUAGUUUCACAUGUUGGCUGCUCCACUGUCCUCUGCCCACCUACAGGAGGAAAAGCAAGGCCUACAGAAGGAUGUCCCUUUAGGAGGAAG
rnacentral:lncRNA from 1 species